UUUCAAACACAUACAUGCAAUAAACUUUGAAAAUCAUGUACUACAUCAACUAAACUAAUAAAGCAAAUUGCUUCAAAUUGUGCACUAAAUAUGAACUUUACAAAAUCAAAUGUAUUGUCCAAAAGUCUUUAUCAUUAACUUCAAAUGGAUCAAACUGACUUUGGCCACCACUUUCAAUUGCAUCACAAGAAUUUUCCUUGAUCUAGAACUGAUAUUCAAUACAACAAAGGCCUGCAAAACAACAUGUGCGCGUUAUUUACUUAACUAUAGUUCACACACCAGGUGCACUUGCCAAAAAUGCUGCAUUGGUGGUAACAUAACAUCAUAAAAAUACAAUAAGAUGAAAACAUACAAUCAGAUCAAAAGCUAUGCUACGUUUCUAUUUUUUAUGGACUAUGGUGACUCAAAAACAGAACCCUUUGGCCAGAAAGUGAACCAGUCUAAGGAAAGGCUAUAUCAGGGUGGUCAACAAAGAAAAAAGUUGUGAUCAUCCGAAAUAUCAAUGACUUGCAUUCUUAAAGCAAGUCUACGUACUCACCCAACUGAGAGAACAUAAUUAUUUGGGGAAGCAAGUUAAGGGAAGAAGAGCAAGCAGCGAUGCUUUUGAUGGCUCUUUCUUGUGGAUAUGUCUACGUUUAGGACAUUAUUACUCCUCUUCCCAAUAAAACAAACCAUCUCUAGCUCUAUGUCCUAGCAGUAGCACCGAGUGGAAACCCCUUAUAGUCAUUAAAAAGAGAUCCAAAAGGUGAUAAUAAUGCAUAAAAGAGAAGUCCGCAUCCCAAGAAUAGUACUAACAUCUUGCUUUAGCAGGUAUAAACAAUAUAAAAAAGUACCUUUUCAAGAAUUAUUCUAUGAGUUUGAUCCAGAUAAAUCUGAAAGAUUUUUGGUCUCUCGCAACCUAUGCAUUACUUGAAUCAACCUAGAAGGAUAAGGUAUCUAACACGCAUCUAAAUGACAUAUGAUGAAGUUAUAAAUUAUAAGUACCUUGACUGAUUCUAUUAUUCCUUCAGCUUGAGUAAUACUAGCGAAAAGUAAACCCCUUUGCUGUCGCGGUCACCAUUCUUCAUUUUCAUUGGCACAACAUACCUAUAAAAGAAAAGAAUAAUGUCAAAUCUUUAGUUAGAAACGUUAUUGGAAGCAUGUUUGUGCAGAAACGGGGAAAAGAAAACAUUUCAGCACAUGUAAUUUUUCAUUCUCUCUCACAUGAUAUGAGAAUUUUUUAACAAACACUAAUGAACAAUUACAUUAGCACAAGCCUGGCUUUAGAUUUCAAUCAAUACAUACUUUCAUAAAGGAGACUUGCAAGUUGAAUCACAUCUUCUUGUUGGUAACCACUGCAAAGUUUGAUAGAAGACAAGAAAUUCUUGGAUCAUCCAUUCUCAAAAGAAGUUGCGAUAGACACAAGAUAACAGUGUCUAGUAAUGGCUCCCCUAAGCUCGAUACUACAAAAAGCAAGAGUAACGGUUAGGCACGAAAGAGUUAGUCUACAAUUGUAUCAAACCAGUGAGGUCAGUAAUUACGUAGAUGUCUUAUCAUUUACAAAAAGUAGCAGCACCAGAGAAACAGGGACAAUAUCCAUGUGCAGUGAAACAUUUUCUUUGAGAGGCAAAAUCACUUAAGACGCAUAUAGAAUAAUUUAUACUUAAAGAGAGGCAAAUCAUAGAGUUCCAACAGUGAAGGUUUUUGUUUUUCAGGGGAGGGGGAGGCCAAUAAUUUCUUCACUCUGUCCGAUAAUUUCUUCACUCUGUUAACGAGACAUGAGAGCAAGAGCCACUAUGCUACAAUAGAAACUAAUAAUUGUAUAUAGUUUCUUUUCUUACUAAAAAAAAGGGUAGCCCCGUGUCGGAUCCUUCAAAAAUGCACUACUUUUGGAGGAUCCGACACGUAUCCUCCCACAUUUUCGGAGAGUCUACGCAACACAACAUAGGGUCAAUCAAGUUGAGUUCCAUAAAAGAACUGUGGUGCAGCUAAAUUCCUGAGUUUUGUAGCAUUUUAUCAUUCAAGAGGAAAGUUCAAAUACCUUUGGCAAUUCCCUACUUCUUUCGUUUCCCAGAACAAACAAAACAAAAUUUUAAAAAAAGAAUUGAAAGAAAUAAAAGUAUUUAUAUGUAGGUGAAACAUUUUAGACGAUAAAGCCAGUAUUAAAAAAAUUUAGUAUAAUGAUUUCAAACCUCUCAUGCUACAUUAUGGACUAGAUAGGAACACAAUUAGAAGGGUGAAGAAGGGGCAUAACAAACAACGAUCAAUCAAAAAGUGGCUGACUCUGUAGCAAAUGGUAGGUGGGACACAGAGGCUUUGCUGCAAAUGGUAGGGUGAUGAAGUGUGGUAAGACAUGUACUCAUAAUUAGGUACCUGGAUAUCCAAUUAACCCAGGUAUUUGGAUGCUAAUGGAAUCUGCUAUGGUUCUCAACUCACCAGCAUGGGAUCUGGUUAGGAGAUGUAAAGAGGAAAAUUACACAUAUAAGAUGAGCUUUUUUGCUAUGGAGGAUAUGGAAUAGGAGCUAACUCUAGAUGACAUUUUGCAGCAAAGAGGAGUCUUCGAGAUGUUGGUGCUGCACGACGCCUCAAAGGGAGACAAUACAACAUUUAUGCCUUCACGCUCCAGCAGCUUUUGAGGUAUGGCACUAUUUCACAACAGCUUGUGGUUCCAACAAGAGAGGAAAUACAUCACAACAAGCUUGUUUACUUUGGUGGAAAAAAGAGGACAUCACCUCUCAUGCUGCUGUGGAGCUACCACCUCAUGCGAGAAAUUUAUAAGAUAGUAAUGUUAUGAACAUCACCCAGAUAAGAACUAAGGAAACUACUUGUAAUUACAAGAGCUUGUUUUCCCUGGAGUGAAGGGAAUGGUGCAUGCAACAACACUCUGAUCAUGAAAGAACAUUGCAGUUUUUUCUAUGGGAGUGAAGCGCAAUAAUAGCAUACUAACAUGAAGUAGUGCAGUUUAAGUUUUAGAUAAAUCUUGUAAUGGAAUAAACUGUGAUUUCCUUGGAAACUAAAGUUAUAGCAGUUUGGUAUGACAGAUCAUAAGCAGACUGAUCCUAUACACAACAACACAAGAUAGUGAACAAGAAUAUUCUUUAAACAAGAAAAGGCCAAAACAGAACAUCAAGAGAAAAUGAAGAACCUAAUUUAACACAGAAACACUAUAGGAAGCAACAACAGAAGCAGCAAAAUACUUUGGAUAAAAGAGAAUAGAAGUGCUGCAGAUAUUAAUAAUUGGAAUUUUUUUCCAUUUUGAGCUAAAAAUAAUUUCCCAAAGGAUUGUUCAAAACUGUUCAUUGGUAUUGCGAUUUUCUCUAUAACGCUUUGCCCUCAUACCUUGGUAUAGUUGGGUUUAUUGACUUCUGACUAAAGGCACAAUCAGUCAAACUAAUACUACUGCAUAAAUUCUCAGUCAUCUACUUAAAAAAAUUUAUACAGCUUUCUGAAGAAUGUCUACAAAUACAGGUUAACAUUAAUAUUAGCUGUCUCUGGCUCCAACAUUUGGUGGACAACCAAAAAUAGCUGGUCAUCCUUUGCAGCACAACCUUAUCGUCAGGUACAUGUUGUUGUUGGUAAAAUGUGUACUCAUAAUUAGGUAUCAUUUUUUUUUUUUGAUAAGAUAAAAGUUUAUUAAUAAAGGUACCAAGAAGGUACUCAAAUUACAACCAAACAAGACAGACCCUAUAACAAUCUCUAGUUACAUAUUUCCAAGUGAGUCUAAAAAUUACAUAUACUGAUCAAUACUCUCUAGAAUACUCCUUUUACACCAAAAAAGCGGAUUUUGCAUACAAAGGUUCCUGACUCUAGAGAUGUGGUUCCUUUUAUUCUCGAAACAAGCAUUAUUCUUCUCUGUCCAAAUAGUCCAGAAGACGCAUAAAGGGAUUGUUCUCCAGAUCUGCUUUUGUAUCCUUCCAAUCCUCUGCCCGUUCCAGCUCUCCAACAAGCUCUUAACAUCUGACGGCAUAACCCAAGCUACACCACACGUAUUUAGGACAAGCUCCCAGCAUUGCUUAGCAAACUUACAAUGAAUAAAAAGAUGAUUGACUGAUUCCAAAUCCUCUUCACAUAGAUAACAUCUGUUGCUUAAAGAAAAACCUCCCCUUUGCAAAUUGUCUUGGGUUAAGCAUGCUUUCCUAUAGACAAUCCACCCAAAACAGGCUACCUUAACAGGUGCUUUGGUCUUCCAUAGUAUUUUCCAAGGCCAAUUUGACUCAAAGUGUUCAGAUUGUUUCUGAAGAAGGUUAUAGCAGCUUUUAACAGAGAACUUCAAUUCAUUGUUCGCUGUCCAGAUCAUAGAAUCCUCUUUAUCCUCUUCUACCAUUGCUGUACCCAGUAGAUGUAAAAAUUGCCCCACCUCCUCCAUCUCCCAAUCAUUAAAGUCUCUUCUGAAUCUUAAUUGCCACCCAUUAGAGGAGUAGAAAUCAGAAACACUACCAUCUCUAUUAAAAGAAAUAUUGAAUAGAGUUGGGAAUCUGUUUUUCAAGCUUACCUCCCCCAGCCAAACUUCAGACCAAAAUUUUAUUUUGGCACCAUUUCCCAGUUUCAAUUUUGUGUGCUGCUGAAACUCAGUCCACAAUCUGCUUAUGUUACUCCAAAUACUACCUCUUGAAGCACUUUGGGCAAUAGGAGGGCACCAUAUAUCCUUCUUCACAUACUUUGCAUUUUUCAAAUUCUUCCAAGUUUUUUUCCUUACCAUCAUUAUACCUCCACAACCAUUUAAAUAAUAAACUCUUAUUAUGUAUUCUCAGAUUUCUAACCCCCAAGCCUCCCCCUUUCUUAUCAAUCAUUACCCUCUGCCAUUUGACCAAAUGAAACUUCUUUUUAUCUGCCAUGCCUUCCCAUAGGAAAUUACUUCUUAGGACAUUUAAUUUCUUCUCAACAUACGCAGGCAAUUGAAACAUAGACAUUAAGUAUGUUGGAAUUCCAUCCAAUACACUGCUUCCUAAAGUAAGUCUACCCCCAAAAGAUAGAUAUUGCUUUUUCCAUGGAGUCACCUUACUGUUACAUCUAUCCAGUACCCCUUGCCAUAUUCUUUGAUUAUUCUUCUUAGCACCCAACGGUAGCCCCAAAUAAGUUGUAGACAAUUGCUCCACCUUACAUCCCAACACCUCCGCUAAAUCUUCUAUACAAUUGUCUGCAUUAAUACUAAACAAGCUACUUUUUGACAGAUUCACCCUCAAUCCUGUCACUGCUUCAAAAAUCAAUAGAAUCCCUCUCAGAUAGAAGAAUUGUUCUCUAUUUGCUUCACAAAUAAUCAGUGUGUCAUCUGCAUACAAUAUAUGAGAAAUGUUACAUUUUACCCCUCCUCUUCUUCCAACCUGCAACCCCCUGAUUCACCCUAAUUGCUCAGCUUUUUUUAGCAUUCUGCUAAGUAUUUCCAUGAUCAAAACAAAUAGAUACGGGGAUAGAGGGCCCCCCUGCCUUAGCCCUUUGGAAGAACUAAAGAAAACUUGAGGACUUCCAUUGAUGAGCACUGAAAAUCUUAUAGUGGAUAUACAAUAUUCAAUCCAUUUCAACCAUUUUUCACCAAAAUUCAUCUGUCUCAUGAUACAUAUUAAACAAGCCCAAUUGACAUGAUCGUAUGCCUUCUGAAGGUCCAAUUUACAAAGUACCCCUUGCCUUUUAUUUCUCACCAAGUAUUCCACACAUUCAUUUGCAACCAUAGAAGCAUCAACUAUUUGCCUCCCCCUAAUAAAUGCAUUUUGAUUAUCGGAGAUUAGCCUUCCUAUCACCAAUUUAAGUCUUUCUGCCAUCAAUUUAGCAAUAAUUUUAUAGACACUCCCCAAAAGACUAAUUGGCCUGUAAUCUUUAAUUUCCACUGCAUCCAUUUUUUUUUUUUUGGAAUUAAAGCUAUAAAAGUGGCAUUGAAACUUUUAGCAAAGUUUCCUUCUUGGAAAAAUAGUUUCACCGUUUCCCAGACAUCUCUCUUGACUGUAUUCCAGCAUUUCUGAAAAAAAUGAAGAUUGAAUCUAUCUGGACCUGGUGCCUUGUCUCCUUUAAAGAGUUUUAUCACCCAGAUUAGAACUAGGGAAACUACUUGUUUUCGCUGCUAUCUACCUUUAUGAUCAUUCACUAUAAACCAAAUACAUAAGUACCAGGCUUGAUGACUUGGUUUUUUUUCUUUAAAAAAUGUUAUAGAAAUUAAUGCUGCAAAGGAAGGAGUAAAAAAAGCAAAUUAACUUGAGUGAAGAGAAUGGUGCAUCUGCAACAACACUCCAAUCUUGCAAGUAAGUUGCAGUUAUUUCAAUGGGAGUGAAGCGCAAUAGUAGCAUACUAACACUGAAACAAAGCAAAGCUAUAGUUUCAGUUUUAGAUAAAUCUUGUAAUAUAAUAGUGUGUGAUUUCCUAGGAAACUAAAGUUUUAGCAGUUUGAUAUGACAGAUCAUAAGCCGGCUGAUCUUAUACACAACAAGAAAACAUAGUGAACAAGAAUAUUCUUUAAACAAGAAAAGGCCAAAACAGAACAUCAAGAGAAAAUGUCAAACAGAUAAAAGAAACAGGACAUCAACAAAUGGGCAAAAGCAAAGUAGGGCAUCUUUCAUAAUUGAACUCUUCAUUAUAAACAAUAAGAAUGAACUCUAAGAGUCACAGGGACCUUGAGAAAAAGACACCACCUACACUGAAUAUGUGCAGACCUUUGACUAUUCCACUAGUAUAUGUUCUUGAUAACCUGCCCAUCAAAGUCAGGCAGAUGAGAUUUCUUCCCUUAAUUCCCACCUUUUUGCUUACUUGCCUAACCACCAAAUCAACCCCACCCCCCCAAAAAAAAGAGAAAUAGAUAAACGCAAUCAAAAGUUGGAACUAACCCUGCCUCCAGGGAUUUGAUUCAGCGGUAAGGACGCAGAACUUAAAAUGAAGGUCAGACAUAUGUCACGAGUUAAAACCCGGUAAAUGAUUGAAACUUGGUAUGUAAGUGGGAGCAAGGUAGAGAGACGAGCCCAUAGCCCUCAGAGUUCCGGACCUGUAAGCACAUUAGAGUUAGGCCAGCUAACACACAGGGUAUUCUCGGUUUUGAAAGAAAAAAGAAAAAUUGGAUUCUAU
rnacentral:lncRNA from 1 species